rnacentral:ncRNA from 1 species
UCCAGGAGAGAACCGGCCGGUGCGGAAGGGGCUUAUUCCCGCUUGCAGGCUGGACGCCGAAGGGGCAGAAACUCUCAGGCAAAAGGACUGGGGUC